rnacentral:rRNA from 1 species
CACGUAGGGUGCGAGCGUUGUCCGGAAUUAUUGGGCGUAAAGAGCUCGUAGGCGGUGUGUCGCGUCGGCCGUGAAAACCUGCAGCUUAACUGUGGGCGUGCGGUCGAUACGGGCAUCACUGGAGUUCGGCAGGGGAGACUGGAAUUCCUGGUGUAGCGGUGAAAUGCGCAGAUAUCAGGAGGAACACCAGUGGCGAAGGCGGCACUCUGGGCCGGAACUGACGCUGAGGAGCGAAAGCGUGGGGAGCGAACAGG